CACGAGGGGCAAUUUACAAUUUUUACCGAAGCCAAUUAAUCUACAAACCUGUACGUCUUUGGAAUGUGGGAGGAUACGAGGGAGCCCAGGGAAAACUCACGCGGCCACAGAGAAAUGGUACAAACUCCGUACAGACAGAACCCAUAGUCAGGAUCAAACCCGGGUCUCUGGCGCUCCAAAACAGCAACUCUACCGCUGCGCC